AUAACAAUACAGGACUCUUGCGAGGCCCUGUAAUUGGAAUGAGUACACUUUAAAUCCUUUAACGAGGAUCUUUUGGAGGGCAAGUCUGGUGCAGAGCGACUGACCCGUGCGUGCUGCAGCUGAAA
rnacentral:rRNA from 1 species